rnacentral:tRNA from 2 species
ACGUCAGUGGCUCAAUUGGCAGAGCAGCGGUCUCCAAAACCGCAGGUUGGGGGUUCGAAUCCCUCCUGACGUG